rnacentral:rRNA from 1 species
GACGAACGCUGGCGGCGUGCUUAACACAUGCAAGUCGAACGGUGAAGCGCCUUCCUUUUUGGUGGGUGUGGAUGAGUGGCGAACGGGUGAGUAACACGUGAGUAACCUGCCCCCUUCUUCUGGAUAACCGCAUGAAAGUGUGGCUAAUACGGGAUAUUCUGGGUCUGUCGCAUGAUGGGUCUGGGAAAGAUAUUGUUUCGGUGGGGGAUGGGCUCGCGGCCUAUCAGCUUGUUGGUGGGGUGAUGGCCUACCAAGGCGGUGACGGGUAGCCGGGCUGAGAGGGCGUGCGGCCGCCAUGGGAGUGGGACACGGCCCAGAGUCCUACGGGAGGCAGCAGUAGGGAAGCUUCGGCAAGGGACGGAAGUCUGACCGAGCAACGCCGCGUGAGUGAAGAAGGUUUUCGUAUCGUAAAGCUCUGUUGUAAGAGAUGAACGAGUGUGAGCGUGGAAAGUUCACACUGUGACGGUAUCUUACCAGAAAGGGACGGCUAACUACGUG